rnacentral:rRNA from 1 species
UACGAAGGGGGCUAGCGUUGCUCGGAAUCACUGGGCGUAAAGGGUGCGUAGGCGGGUCUUUAAGUCAGGGGUGAAAUCCUGGAGCUCAACUCCAGAACUGCCUUUGAUACUGAAGAUUUUGAGUUCGGGAGAGGUGAGUGGAACUGCGAGUGUAGAGGUGAAAUUCGUAGAUAUUCGCAAGAACACCAGUGGCGAAGGCGGCUCACUGGCCCGAUACUGACGCUGAGGCACGAAAGCGUGGGGAGCAAACAGG